AUGUUGGAAGUUGCAGGACGGCUCACGCUCACCUCUUCGGUCCUCAUGGCACUGCCCAUGCACAUCAUGGCAGCGCUCCCGCUGCCGGCCUGGGCUAUCAAGACUAUCAACCGCCGCUGCCGUGGAUUUAUUUGGAAGGGGGAGGAGGAGACUAGUGGUGGCCAUUGCCUUAUGCCUUGGAGCAGGGUGUGC
rnacentral:rRNA from 1 species